UAGGCGGCUUUCUUCUUUUUCAUUAGCUUAAAGGUUCUUGAGCACUUAAUCAUUUUCCAUCAACUCUUCCAUCAAGGUUCUCUAUCUCACCAAAGCUUAUCACCACCAGGAAAAGAAGAAACAAUGGCAAGUGAGGCCCCAAGCUGGGCAGAUCAAUGGGGUGCAGGAGGUAUUGGUUCAAUGGAAGAUGACAAUUACACUGGGACCAAGCAACAUACCAGCAACAAGAAGAAGGUAGAUGCCAAAGGGGGAUUAAACAAAGCCAAAGCAGCUGCUAUGUCUGGAGCUCAAAAGCUCAAAAGCGGAGCAUCCAACAGCUUCAAAUGGGUUAAAAGUAAAUGCCAGAAAAAAUAAUCUUCUGAAUGACAUGUAAAGAAAUUGGCCUCAUGUUAUACUUGCAACAGCAGAUGAUUUCCGGCAGAUUAUGUUUUGGGCCGCUAUUAAUCCUUCCUUUUUCUUCCCUCUUUUGUAUUUUGCAUGUUUAUCAUUCUAUGAGGUUGUUAGAAA